rnacentral:rRNA from 1 species
AUGAACGCUGGCGGCGUGCCUAAUACAUGCAAGUCGAGCGAACGGACGAGAAGCUUGCUUUUCUGAUGUUAGCGGCGGACGGGUGAGUAACACGUGGAUAACCUACCUAUAAGACCGGGAUAACUUCGGGAAACCGGAGCUAAUACCGGAUAAUAUUUUGAACCGCAUGGUUCAAAAGUGAAAGACGGCCUUGCUGUCACUUAUAGAUGGAUCCGCGCUGCAUUAGCUAGUUGGUAAGGUAACGGCUUACCAAGGCAACGAUGCAUAGCCGACCUGAGAGGGUGAUCGGCCACACUGGAACUGAGACACGGUCCAGACUCCUACGGGAGGCAGCAGUAGGGAAUCUUCCGCAAUGGGCGAAAGCCUGACGGAGCAACGCCGCGUGAGUGAUGAAGGUCUUCGGAUCGUAAAACUCUGUUAUUAGGGAAGAACAUAUGUGUAAGUAACUGUGCACAUCUUGACGGUACCUAAUCAGAAAGCCACGGCUAACUACGUG